ACAGCAUGCAUUCAUGUUGUUGAGAGCCAUGACACAGAAACAUGGUGAGAGUCGCAGAGCGACUGUUAAACUUAGCUGACGAGGCUUACACGGGUUUCGGUAGAGAAGGGAAUGGUGCCACAAUAGAGCACCAGUUAGUGGGAUUCUUUACAGAUGGGCUGGACCACGAUUAUCUAAACAGGGAGGAGUGCAAAGAAAGGGACAGCCAGGUGUACGGGAAAGGAUGGAGACGGCACAGCACAGACUCAUUGCCAGAUGCAAGAGAAGGAGAAACACAUGACAAAAAGGGUAUUACAAUUUGAGACACUUCUCACUUCAGCAUGAAUGCAGAAUUGAAAAGGAAAGGGAGAACAGACUCCAAACAAGAGCAGAGGCGAUGAAGCCAAGAAAGAGGAAGAGACAAAGGAAACCUGCGAAACACGAAGGUGGACACAGAAGAUGAAUCAGAUUCAAAUAUAAAAUGAACUCUGGUGUGUGGGAACAAAAGGCAUGUUCAAACUAAAAGAGAG